rnacentral:lncRNA from 1 species
AAAUCUAUCCUAAGGUCCCAAAUUAGACCAAUGGAAUUCUGUCUGCUAUAUUUAAAACUAAUUAAUACGGGCUUCUGAAUUGAUCUCAUCUUUUAAGACUCCACUUUUUGCUCCGUCUGCGGAGCGUAUGAAUUUCCUGGAAUAUGUAGGCGUAGGCGGUGGUAAACUUCUCUUUCCGGUAGUAGAAGGGAAGCUCGUUA